rnacentral:rRNA from 1 species
GGGCCCGCACAAGCGGUGGAGUAUGUGGUUAAUUCGAUGCAACGCGAAGAACCUUACCAGGGUUUGACAUCCUGCGAAUCUCUUGGAAACGAGAGAGUGCCUUCGGGAACGCAGUGACAGGUGGUGCAUGGCUGUCGUCAGCUCGUGUCGUGAGAUGUUGGGUUAAGUCCCGCAACGAGCGCAACCCACGUCUUUAGUUGCCAGCAUUUAGUUGGGCACUCUAGAGAAACUGCCUGGGAUGACCAGGAGGAAGGCGAGGAUGACGUCAAGUCCUCAUGGCCCUUAUGGGCUGGGCUACACACGUGCUACAAUGGCGGUUACAAUGGGAAGCAAUAGGGUGACCUGGAGCUAAUCCCCAAAGGCCGUCUCAGUUCGGAUUGUUCUCUGCAACUCGAGAACAUGAAGUCGGAAUCGCUAGUAAUCG